AUGCAUAAGACUAUAAUGCAUAAAGAAAUUAUUUUAACCAUGGGUUUUUAAAAGUCUAUACCAUAACUAUUUUUAAAUUUAUGGGUUGUUUUUAAAUAGCGACAGGGGUCGUAUUUUUAAGAACCGCAAACGUGCGGUAGGGUGCAUACAGAACCAUAAUUUGGGGAUGCUCCGUUGUUUACAAACUUUGUGUUAUCAGUUGAUACAAACCAGAUCUCUCGUCUUUAACAGACACCCCUAUGUACCAACCUCGUAUAAAGUAAGGCCCACUAAGAUUGUAUUUAGCACACCUGAAAAUUUGUGUUUGGAACUUUGAGCAAGAAAGUCUACGUUAAAAAGUCUAGAAGCGAAAUGGCUACAUAUCUUAGCGAUGAGUGUGUUUAAGAUUCUGUUUUUGUUUUUUAAAUGUGUUGUGUAUUACAAAUGUAUCGCAAAGGCUCGGAUAACAUAUCAUAUGGUACUGUUUUAGGUGCCCUGAACGAUCCAGACUUUGCUGAUGUUGCAGGAGAAAUGUGUGAUUUAAAUAGGUUAUCAGGUAUGUUUUAACGUUUUCUACAUAUAAUUUUUAAAUGAUGCGCUCGCAUAAAAAAUACAUCUAUAACAUUUUCUAAUUCCUUCAGGAUUGAGGACCCCCCAGUUAAUGAUGAGAACUGUAAGUUGUGUGUGUGUGUAUGUGUUGGCUACAGUAUGUUUUACGACCACCCUCUAUUUUCACAGUGGGUCGCAACAUCAGAUCAUCUGACCGAGACAUCGUAUGGGGAGUUGCAGGUCGUCAGACACUCAGCGCGUAUUUGUGUUUUACAUUUUUCGUUCCAACAUUUUGUCUGUUUUCAAAAAUACUAAAAAUGAUCUUUGUCUUGCAGCGCAUUUGUCUAACCUUCUGGACAGCAUACCCACUACAUCAGGGGUCUCAGAAAAAAUUAGAGGGGUAAGAUCUGUGUGUGUGUGUCUCUGAUGCCAUAUGGCUUACGCUCCACCCUCUCUAUCUUUCACAGGGAUCCGUACCACGUCUGCUCGACACAACGUUGGUAGAGCUGGAGUUCGCAAACCACUCUCGGAUUUGUCCAUCCUGGUGGAUAACAUACCUCACAAAACGCGGUGGGGUCUCGGAGGACACAAAAGACAGCGAUCCAAACAGGCCAUGGUUCAGGCCCCACGGGUUCACAAUACACCUUUACAAGGCAUAUUUAGCCUCCAUUAGAAAUGGUCUUUAAACAGAAUGUUUUAUUUUAAUAUAUUUUCUAAUAACAACAUGUUUAUCUUUUUACAGUUUUGAAUGCUAGCGACAAUGCGAUCGAUGAGGCAUCAUCUUUAGGGACUGACGUUAGAACAUCUCUCCAUGUAUUGGACACAAGCGAUAACGCUGUAAGUUUUGCAGAGUGGGAUGUGGAUCUGCUUAAUGCGUGGGACGCUUGCGAUUUUGAUCUACCUCCCCCAUCACCAACACCGGCAACAGCGACCCUGAAUGUCCAAGAAUCACCUGUGUUUUCCGAACAGGCUCUCGCGGUGGUACCCCUAAAUCGAAAAGACAGUGAUUCUGAGGAUACAGAAUUGACCCCAUCGGUCUUGCCACUGAACCUUGAGGACCGAAGUUCCACGUCUUCCGAACAGGACCCUGAGGCAUUGCCAUCUAACCAGCAGACCUACAGAAACAAACUUGCGUCUGAUGAACAAGUCCCAGACAACACUGAAAAUGAAGUGACUCUAAUAGAGAUCAAAGACUUUCUGGAGUAUGUCUGGGAUGCUUAUGUACAAUUAACAACAAUUUGUUGCCGCGGGGUUUUCAAACCUGGAUACAGAACGAAGAUCCUUGUUUGAGUUAAACACAGAAAUUGUCACUCUGCUAAAAAAGGGUUUUGGUAAGUGACAAAUUAUCAUUUGUUUUGCUGAUGUUUUAAACUUAUAGCGUUUGUGUUGUCAAUACCUGUUGCUGUUGGUUUAUUUUUCAUUGUUUAUAUAAUCUGGUUUUUAUACUCGUUAUAUUUUGGGGUAGGGCUUUUCAUUGUUUUAUUUAUUUUGUUUGUUUUUUGAUAUCUUGUUGAUGUUUCUUAUACUCGUUAUAUUUUUGGUUUGGUUUUAUUGUGUUUACAGAAUUGAUUGUCUUGUGGGUUGAUUUUGGCCCGUAUAAACAGUCUAUGAAUAUAGAUCACGCUAUUACAGAUGGUUUCGCAGAUUAAAUAAAUAUGGUGCAUUCCCUGUCACAUGUCCAGCCAGAGCCGAGCAUGGCCUUAGAUCAGGAUACUUUAAAUACGCAUCAAGUUUUUAAGCUCCCAGAAACUGGUUUUAUCAAUAAUCAGAUUGAACCUGGGACUUCAGACAGUGGUUUUAUCAAUAAUUAGAUUGAUCCAGAGGUUCCGGGUGUUCAUUUUACGGCCAUCAGGUUCUCGAUGGGUCAAAUGAGAAUUUGAAUGUUCACCAGGUUGGUGAGGGGUCGGACGAACCGCAUCACAAUUCUGAAACCCCCGACGAUGUUGAGAGGCUUGUGAGAGACGGGGGUGAAUUUAAUGGCUAUAUCAUUGUUCCUCUUACAAGAUUUAAGAGUCUGGAAAUACACAGGAAUAUAAAUCCGAGGUCAAUAUCUUCUACAGAUAUGGCCUCGUACGUUGUAUUUUAGGAUGGUGUUCUAAAUGAAAUAGUCUCACUUUCUAGAAUUAUGGCCGUAGAUGGAGGAUUUAUACAUUUAUUAUUAAGAGGAGAAAGUUUAACAUCUGACGUCAACGCUCUGCUUACACCAGCCAACAAUUACAGCGUCUCCGUGUUCACAAAUCAGAUACAUCAUGCAAAGCAACGCAAUCUAUCUAAUGUUAAAAGUCUCUAUGGUCAGAAGGAAAAAAUUCCUUGAUCUAGCACACAAUGAGGUUAUAAAAAGAAAUAGAAUGAUUUUUUUUUGCCCUACUAAUAUGUCUGAUAAGCUAUGCUUCAUUUGUCUUGCACACUUCCUGAAUCCCCAAAAAACAGACACUGAAUAAGUGCCCAUAGCUGCUGCCAUGCAAAAUGCAGCUGGAUUUUCUAACCAAGACAUGAUACGGUUUAAUGACGUGGCAUUGUUUGAGAGGUUGCUAAACAUCAAAAUUUUAGUUUUCCACAGAUCAAGCACAGGUGCAUUGGAAAAAUACAUGACAAAAGAUAAGCCCCACUACAAGAUGGUGUUUCUCUAUCUGUCGGAUAGUCAUUAUUUCUUGAUAAAAUAUUUGAGGGGUUUAUUGCAGUGUUUCUUAACUGCGUUCCUGGAGGCCUACUGAUCUGCACAUUUUGUAUGUUUCUCUUAUCUGCCGGCCUCAGUUCAGAUCAUGGAGAUCUCUGCUAAUGAGCUGAUGAUUUAAAUCAGGUGUGUUAAAUAAGGGAGACAUACAGAAUGUGCAGAGCUGUGGGCCUCCAGGAAUAACGCUGAGAACCACUGGUUUAUUGGAUGUCGCAUCGUCUGCGACUAUUGUUACGCUUGCUUUUCUGAUAAGAGAUUUCACAGAUGCAAAUACGCCUGUGACUGCUACAAGCACCCUGUUCAGACGAUACACUGUGGUGAUUAUUUGAGGUACUGCAAAUCAAAAUAUUGUUAUGACAUGCAUAAAAAGCCUCCACUGGGUCAACAGUUUGCCCAGUGUGACGUAAACAAAAACUGCCCAAGAUGUAAUCUACGCUAUGACGUCAGAGGUUCUGCCACCAAACCGCACAAAUGUCCAGCAGACACGUGUGUGCAUUGCGGCAUGGAUUUGAUACCCGAUGGGGCUCACCAGUGUUUUAUUCAGCCCAUAAGGCUCGAGACACCCAGCGAGAAAUCGAUCUUCUAUGAUUUUGAGACGUGUUACAAGGGUGGGAAGGAUGUUGCAAAUUUUGUAUGUGCCAUAACUUUUCCGGGUGAAGAUUUUACAGCAGAGGGCACCGACUGUGUCGCACAGCUCGUGCAAAGAUUCAGACAACCUAGGUAUACCAAUUACAUGUGGAUAGCCCACAAUGCUUCUGGCUUUGACAAUUUUAUACUUUUGGAAUAUUUCACAAAAGAAGGGCUCACUAUUAAAAUCACGAUGCAAGGCUCUCGUUUGAUAUUAAUGUUUGAAGAAAGUUAGGGUGACCAUACGUGCCAUUCUACCCGGACGCAUCCCGUCCAGGAUUUUGUGUUCGUCUUCCGGACGUCAUAUUUGUCGACAUAC